UACGGGGGGGGGCAAGCGUUGUUCGGAAUUACUGGGCGUAAAGGGCUCGUAGGUGGCCAACUAAGUCAGACGUGAAAUCCCUCGGCUUAACCGGGGAACUGCGUCCGAUACUGGUUGGCUUGAGUUUGGGAGAGGGAUGCGGAAUUCCAGGUGUAGCGGUGAAAUGCGUAGAUAUCUGGAGGAACACCGGUGGCGAAGGCGGCAUCCUGGACCGGUAUUGACGCUGAGUGAGCGAAAGCCAGGGGAGCAAACGGG
rnacentral:rRNA from 1 species